rnacentral:rRNA from 1 species
AUUGAACGCUGGCGGCAGGCCUAACACAUGCAAGUCGAGCGGAUGACGGGAGCUUGCUCCUUGAUUCAGCGGCGGACGGGUGAGUAAUGCCUAGGAAUCUGCCUGGUAGUGGGGGACAACGUUUCGAGAGGAACGCUAAUACCGCAUACGUCCUACGAGAGAAAGCAGGGGACAUUCGGGCCUUGCGCUAUCAGAUGAGCCUAGGUCGGAUUAGCUAGUUGGUGGGGUAAUGGCUCACCAAGGCGACGAUCCGUAACUGGUCUGAGAGGAUGAUCAGUCACACUGGAACUGAGACACGGUCCAGACUCCUACGGGAGGCAGCAGUGGGGAAUAUUGGACAAUGGGCGAAAGCCUGAUCCAGCCAUGCCGCGUGUGUGAAGAAGGUCUUCGGAUUGUAAAGCACUUUAAGUUGGGAGGAAGGGCAGUAAGUUAAUACCUUGCUGUUUUGACGUUACCGACAGAAUAAGCACCGGCUAACUCUGUGCCAGCCGCCGCGGUAA